UUUGACUUAUAAUUGAAGGCUGGUAUGAAUGGUUUGACAAGAAUAAAGCUGUCUCUUUNUAANUUGAUAGAACUUUAUCUUUAGGUGAAAAAGCCUUAAUUUGAUUAAUAGACAAGAAGACCCUAUCGAGCUUUAGAUAACCUAGUAGGUUAAAAUCUUAUCAGUUGAAAGGAUAAACUACUAGAUACUUUGGUUGGGGCGACUGAGGAACAUGAAAAGCUUCCUAUACAUACGUAUUGAUCCAUGAUUAAAGGAAUUAGUUACCGUAGGGAUAACAGCAUUAUCUUUUUUGAGAGUUCUUAUCGAAAAAAAGGUUUGUGACCUCGAUGUUGGACCAGAAUGUCCUAAAGAUGCAGAAGUCUUUAAGGGUUGGUCUGUUCGACCAUUUANAAUUCU
rnacentral:rRNA from 1 species